CCAGUAUCCCUGUAUCAGCACAGCUAGAGAUACUUACAUGUGCUUGUAAAGUGGGAUAAACAGUUCUAGUGGUUCAAAGCUGGAUUAAAAUCUUCUUUUUCAUUUACCUAUCUUUACCUCAUUCAGCAUUUAGUAGAUGCGUAUUACAGAGUGCAUACAUGCCCUACUAAUCCUCAUUUUCCACCACUUCAAAGUGACAACGUCGAAUCCCUUUCACACGCCAUAACUAUGCUCAGUAUCUUUGAAAACUUUCUUGAUUUUGAAAUAACCAAAAGUAGAAAAUUAUUUACUCACAGAUGUGCCUUCUAAGUACUUCCAUGUCAAUGUGUUACUCUUUUGGAAGACUGUCAGUAUUCUAUCCAGUGGGGUUAUUUUCACUUUUUUCUUUUUCAAAGACAAAAUCCGGUGCAUAUGUUGUCUCUAAACAUGUCUGCAUUUAAUAUUGCAUUUAAUACCACCUACAGUGAUACCACUGAAGUCUACAGAUAAAGUAUAUCAAUGAUAAAUAAUGCCCCUUCCAAAGAAGUUCGGUUGAAAACAUUCUCAGUUUUUAUUGUUUACUGUUCCUCAGAUACAGCAAAAUGCAAGAAACAACUUUUUUCAGCUCCUAGAGAGGUGGUAUUUGCUUUUGCUUUCCAUCAUAGAAACAUGUUUACUUUUCUUCAUAGAAAUAUUAGUGAAGAAUUGAGCACAUGAAGAGUUUGGCAUGUUUAGCUUCAUAAUUUUCUCAGAAAAGAGAAAGAUAAAAGCAAAGGAAAUGUUCACGCCCUUCCACAAACCUGCUGUCAUUUUCCUCAUCCUUGUUCCAAACACCAGCAGACAACAUUCCACAGUGAUCACACAGUGACAAAGCCUUUAAACUUAGUAUAUCAAAAUGUAAGACUUUGGUAGUGUUACCAUGAGCUAACUCACAGUCACAUUUUUGAGAGUCCUUAUUUAAGAGCAAACCUCAAAUAAGGACACCUGCCUUCACACUUGUUUUAUUUACCUUGGAACAAUUUAAUUUGAAUUUUCUUGGCUUCAGUCAAAUUAUAAUGUAUGAUGAAUUGGUUUAGGUUGAGGGCUAUGAUAUUACUGCAUGCAUUUCAAAAUUACUUUCUGGCCGUCUUGUCAAAGGAGCAAAACUUGUCUGGAGAUGAAGAAACAGAUGAUGAUGAUGAAGAUGAAGAAGCAGCAGCAGUAGAAGAAGAUGUGGAAGAAGAAGCAGUUGAAGAAGAAGAAGAGGAAGAAGAGGGAGAAGAUGGAGAAACAGAAGCAGAAGAAACAGUAAAAGAAGAAAUGGAGGAAAAACACGAAGUAGAGAAACAUAGUAAAACACCUGAGGGAGAGAAAAAUGAUAAUAGCACAGUGGAAACUGUAGAGACAGAAGAGACUACUCAGAAAGAGACCAUCAUUCAGCAGGGU
rnacentral:lncRNA from 1 species